UGGGGAAUAUUGGGCAAUGGACGCAAGUCUGACCCAGCAACGCCGCGUGAAGGAAGAAGGCUUUCGGGUUGUAAACUUCUUUUAAGGGGGAAGAGCAGAAGACGGUACCCCUUGAAUAAGCCACGGCUAACUACGUGCCAGCAGCCGCGGUAAUACGUAGGUGGCAAGCGUUGUCCGGAUUUACUGGGUGUAAAGGGCGUGUAGCCGGGAAGGCAAGUCAGAUGUGAAAUCCGGAGGCUCAACCUCCGAAUUGCAUUUGAAACUGUUUUUCUUGAGUACUGGAGAGGCAGACGGAAUUCCUUGUGUAGCGGUGAAAUGCGUAGAUAUAAGGAGGAACACCAGUGGCGAAGGCGGUCUGCUGGACAGCAACUGACGGUGAGGCGCGAAAGCGUGGGGAGCAAACAGGAUUAGAUACCC
rnacentral:rRNA from 1 species